GACCGUGCAUUGAUAGCCCAUGUGCAUCUAACUCCCAGCUCAGUGCACUGCACAGAAUCAGUGCUCAGUAAAUGUUUGUUGAACAAAUUGAAUCAACAUUUAUAUUAACCACUUGCAAUGCAGCAAGGUACAGUUUCUCACUUCAAGAAACUCAGUUCUAAACAGAAGGAGAAGGACAAGUAUGUAAAAAAUGAAACAAUGUAGAACAUGAAUGAGGAGUAAAGAAGAUUCCUUGGAAAAGAACUCUGGGAGCCAAGUCUUAAAGAAUGAGUGAGAAUUAUUGCCUGCUCCUCCAAGCCCUUCACUGUAGAAUGGAAGCCUGUGAUUUUCCUGGCAUCAUGCAUGACUGAGAAGGUCAGUGUGGCUAAUUCUGAGCUUCAACAUCAGGAAACCCGUAGUUCUUCACACUGAGCCGCCUCCUGCAGCACAGUCAUCCUUGGUAAUAAAGCUGAUAUUUUAAUCAAU
rnacentral:lncRNA from 1 species